UUUGAUCAUGGCUCAAAUUGAACGCUGGCGGCAUGCCUUACCCUUGCAAGUCAAACGGCAGCACGGGUGCUUGCACCUGGGGGCGAGUGGCGAACGGGUGAGUAAUACAUCGAAACGUACCUUAUCGGGGGGAAUAACGCACCGAAAGCUGUGCUAAUACCGCAUACCCCCUGAGGGGAAAAGCGGGGGAUCGCAAAACCUCGCGCGAUUAGAGCGGCCAAUGCCUGAUUAGCUAGUUGGGGGGGUAAAACCCCACCAAGGCAACAAUCAGUAGCUGGUCUGAAAGGACAAUCACCCACACUGGGACUGAAACACGGCCCAAACUCCUACGGGAGGCAGCAGUGGGGAAUUUUGGACAAUGGGGGCAACCCUGAUCCACCAAUGCCGCGUGAGUGAAAAAGGCCUUCGGGUUGUAAAGCUCUUUUGUCAGGAAAAAAACACCGGCUCUAACACAGUCCGGGAAUGACGGUACCUGAAAAAUAAGCACCGGCUAACUACGUG
rnacentral:rRNA from 1 species